rnacentral:rRNA from 1 species
GUCUAGGACCACACCACCCUGAAUGCACCCGAUCUCAUCUGAUCUCGGAAGCUGAGCAGGGUCGGGCCUGGUUAGUACUUGGGUGGGAGAAUGGAGAGGGAAAAUUCAAAGCAGAGACU